rnacentral:rRNA from 1 species
GACGAACGCUGGCGGCGUGCCUAAUACAUGCAAGUAGAACGCUGAAGGAGGAGCUUGCUUCUCUGGAUGAGUUGCGAACGGGUGAGUAACGCGUAGGUAACCUGCCUGGUAGCGGGGGAUAACUAUUGGAAACGAUAGCUAGUACCGCAUAAGAGUAGAUGUCGCAUGACAUUUGCUUAAAAGGUGCAAUUGCAUCACUACCAGAUGGACCUGCGUUGUAUUAGCUAGUUGGUGAGGUAACGGCUCACCAAGGCAACGAUACAUAGCCGACCUGAGAGGGUGAUCGGCCACACUGGGACUGAGACACGGCCCAGACUCCUACGGGAGGCAGCAGUAGGGAAUCUUCGGCAAUGGACGGAAGUCUGACCGAGCAACGCCGCGUGAGUGAAGAAGGUUUUCGGAUCGUAAAGCUCUGUUGUAAGAGAAGAACGAGUGUGAGAGUGGAAAGUUCACACUGUGACGGUAUCUUACCAGAAGGGGACGGCUAACUACGU